GACACUCUAGAGAUGAACUCUUCUCCAGGCUUCGUGACUGUGGUACUCUUGAUGCUUGGACAAACCCACGGAGACUCAGUGACCCAGAUGGAAGGCCCAGUGACCCUCUUCGAAGGGGAGCCCCUGACUAUAAACUGUACUUAUUCAACAGCAGUGUCCCCCACUCUUUUCUGGUAUGUCCAGUAUCCCGGAGAAGGUCCACAGCUGCUCCUGAAAGCCUUUAGGGACAAGGAGAAGGGAAGUCACAAAGGUUUUGAAGCCACCUACGACGGAAAAUCCAAAUCCUUCCACUUGGAGAAGGCCUCAGUGCAAGCGUCAGAUUCGGCUGUGUACUACUGUGCCCUGCGUGACACAGUGACAGGGACUGCAGGGGGAGCUGAACACAAACUCUGAGCAGAACAGGGGCCCAGAUACUGAAUGUCUCUGAUCUUCUCUGGUUCCAGCACAGUGUAUGGUGGUUGCCCCUCAGUGUCUGCUUGAUACGCAAGUCAUACAAAUGGCUAGAGCAUGGGAACCAGAAGGAACACUCCCCAAACCCAGCUGUUCAUUAGUGCAAUAUAAAUGCAAUAGUUCCUAAGCCAGGACCUAAGUAAUUUCAAGGUGGAACCACAUAACAUUGAAGUGGUGUCUUGCUCACCCUGCAGUGAAAGUCCAGCCCCACAAGCUGCUGAGGCCCCCCCGGUGGGUAUUGCUGUGUCCAAUGACACACUGAGAGAGCCAGGGUGUGCCCGAGAAGGUGGUGUCCGCCCCAUGUCUUCCUGACAGAGGAUGGGCAGGAGAGGUGAAGGAAGAGCUGCAGCCCCAAACCAGGUUUGAAUAGAGAAAGAAGGGGCGGGAAGACAGGAGGGGAACAUGUGGAAGUGAGCAAUGAAAAGAGAGACAAGGGAUCUUUGUCCUGGUUUCUUUUCUAGUAAGACAGAUGGUAGACACAGGCUGAUAUUCAAAAUGAAGGGAGGGGGCAGACACAU